GAGCUGGCCGAACAGUCGCUGUGUUGUUGUAAAACGACGCAGAGGAAAGUCCGGGCUCCGCAGGGCAGGGUGCCAGGUAACGCCUGGGGGACGUGAGUCCACGGAAAGUGCCACAGAAAAUAUACCGCCCCUCACCUAGAAUCUUUAGAUUGUAGGUGAGGGGUAAGGGUGAAAUGGUGUGGUAAGAGCGCACCGCGCUGCUGGCAACAGCAGUGGCAGGGUAAACCCCACCCGGAGCAAGAUCAAAUAGAGGAAUAUACGCGUGGCCCGCGCGGUUCCUGGGUAGAUUGCUUGAGCAUCAGGGCGACCUGAUGCCUAGAUGAAUGACUGUUCCCGACAGAACCCGGCUUAUAGGCCAGCUCAUC
rnacentral:RNase_P_RNA from 1 species